rnacentral:rRNA from 1 species
CCUGGCGGCGGCCUACACAUGCAAGUCGUGCGGAUGAGAAGAGCUUGCUCUUCGAUUCAGCGGCGGACGGGUGAGUAAUGCCUAGGAAUCUGCCUGGUAGUGGGGGACAACGUUUCGAAAGGAACGCUAAUACCGCAUACGUCCUACGGGAGAAAGCAGGGGACCUUCGGGCCUUGCGCUAUCAGAUGAGCCUAGGUCGGAUUAGCUAGUUGGUGGGGUAAUGGCUCACCAAGGCGACGAUCCGUAACUGGUCUGAGAGGAUGAUCAGUCACACUGGAACUGAGACACGGUCCAGACUCCUACGGGAGGCAGCAGUGGGGAAUAUUGGACAAUGGGCGAAAGCCUGAUCCAGCCAUGCCGCGUGUGUGAAGAAGGUCUUCGGAUUGUAAAGCACUUUAAGUUGGGAGGAAGGGCAGUAAGCGAAUACCUUGCUGUUUUGACGUUACCGACAGAAUAAGCACCGGCUAACUCUGUGCCAGCAGCCGCGGUAAU